rnacentral:rRNA from 1 species
GACGAACGCUGGCGGCGUGCUUAACACAUGCAAGUCGAACGGAAAGGCCCUGCUUUUGUGGGGUGCUCGAGUGGCGAACGGGUGAGUAACACGUGAGUAACCUGCCCUUGACUUUGGGAUAACUUCAGGAAACUGGGGCUAAUACCGGAUAGGAGCUCCUGCUGCAUGGUGGGGGUUGGAAAGUUUCGGCGGUUGGGGAUGGACUCGCGGCUUAUCAGCUUGUUGGUGGGGUAGUGGCUUACCAAGGCUUUGACGGGUAGCCGGCCUGAGAGGGUGACCGGCCACAUUGGGACUGAGAUACGGCCCAGACUCCUACGGGAGGCAGCAGUGGGGAAUAUUGAACAAUGGGCGGAAGCCUGAUGCAGCAACGCCGCGUGCGGGAUGACGGCCUUCGGGUUGUAAACCGCUUUCGCCUGUGACGAAGCGUGAGUGACGGUAAUGGGUAAAGAAGCACCGGCUAACUACGUG